ACGAACGCUGGCGGCGUGCUUAACACAUGCAAGUCGAACGGAAAGGCCCCUUUGGGGGUACUCGAGUGGCGAACGGGUGAGUAACACGUGAGUAACCUGCCCUUGACUUCGGGAUAACUUCAGGAAACUGGGGCUAAUACCGGAUAGGAAUCCUUGCUGCAUGGUGGGGGUUGGAAAGCUUCGGCGGUUUUGGAUGGACUCGCGGCUUAUCAGCUUGUUGGUGGGGUAGUGGCUUACCAAGGCUUUGACGGGAAGCCGGCCUGAGAGGGCGACCGGCCACAUUGGGACUGAGAUACGGCCCAGACUCCUACGGGAGGCAGCAGUGGGGAAUAUUGCACAAUGGGCGGAAGCCUGAUGCAGCAACGCCGCGUGCGGGAUGACGGCCUUCGGGUUGUAAACCGCUUUCAGCAGGGGCGAAGCUUGUGGUGACGGUACCUGCAGAAGAAGCACCGGCUAACUACGUG
rnacentral:rRNA from 1 species